GACGAACGCUGGCGGCGUGCUUAACACAUGCAAGUCGAACGGAAAGACCAUGGUGUGGUGGGUUGCUGGAUGGGGGAAGGGGUAAGAGACACGUGAGUAAACCGCUCUAGACUUUGGGAAAAGUUCAGGAAAGUGGGGGUAAUACAAGAUAGGAGCUUCUGCUGCAUGGUGGGGGUCGGAAAGUUUGGGCGGACUGGACUGGAAUCGCGGCUUAUCAGUUGGUUAGUGGGGAAGUGGCUGACCAAGGCUUUGACGGGUAGCCGGCCUGAGAGGGUGACCGGCCACAUUACGCCUACGAUACGUCCCAGUCUCGUACGGGGGGCAGCAGUGCGGAAUAUUGCACAAUGGGCGGAAGCCUGAUCCAGCCACGCCGCGUGCGGGAUGACGGCCUUCUGGUUGUAAACCGCUUUCGGCUAUUACGAAGCGUGAGUGACGGUAAUGGGUAAAGAAGCACCGGCUAACUACGUG
rnacentral:rRNA from 1 species